rnacentral:ncRNA from 1 species
AUGUUCGUAGAAAGGAUAGACGGUUGGCAUCUCCCCUGACAUGGACGGGAACAGUCUUUGGACUUUCUUCUAGGAGUAGUACAUUGCGGUUAAGGCUACCCACUUUGGCGGAUCUUACCCAAAAAGAAAA